AUUGAACGCUGGCGGCAUGCCUUACACAUGCAAGUCGAACGGCAGCACGGACUUCGGUCUGGUGGCGAGUGGCGAACGGGUGAGUAAUGCAUCGGAACGUACCCGGUAGUGGGGGAUAACUACCCGAAAGGGUGGCCAAUACCGCAUAUACUGUGCGCAGGAAAGCAGGGGACCUUCGGGCCUUGUGCUACCGGAGCGGCCGAUGUCAGAUUAGGUAGUUGGUGGGGUAACGGCCUACCAAGCCUGCGAUCUGUAGCGGGUCUGAGAGGAUGAUCCGCCACACUGGGACUGAGACACGGCCCAGACUCCUACGGGAGGCAGCAGUGGGGAAUUUUGGACAAUGGGCGCAAGCCUGAUCCAGCCAUGCCGCGUGAGCGAAGAAGGCCUUCGGGUUGUAAAGCUCUUUCGGACGGAAAGAAAUCGCGCAGGCUAAUACCCUGCGCGGAUGACGGUACCGUCAUAAGAAGCACCGGCUAACUACGUGCCAGCCGCCGCAGUAA
rnacentral:rRNA from 1 species